rnacentral:rRNA from 1 species
GACGAACGCUGGCGGCGUGCUUAACACAUGCAAGUCGAACGGUAAGGCCUUCGGGUACACGAGUGGCGAACGGGUGAGUAACACGUGGGUGAUCUGCCCUGCACUUUGGGAUAAGCCUGGGAAACUGGGUCUAAUACCGAAUAGGACUACGGCCUGCAUGGGUUGUGGUGGAAAGCUUUUGCGGUGUGGGAUGGGCCCGCGGCCUAUCAGCUUGUUGGUGAGGUCACGGCUCACCAAGGCGACGACGGGUAGCCGGCCUGAGAGGGUGACCGGCCACACUGGGACUGGGAUACUGCCCAGACUCCUACGGGAGGCAGCAGUGGGGAAUAUUGCACAAUGGGCGCAAGCCUGAUGCAGCGACGCCGCGUGAGGGAUGACGGCCUUCGGGUUGUAAACCUCUUUCAGUAGGGACGAAGCGCAAGUGACGGUACCUAUAGAAGAAGGACCGGCCAACUACGUGCCAGCCGCCGCCGUAA